rnacentral:lncRNA from 1 species
GUGGAUUCAUGCUAACAUAUCAAGUUCAUGAUGAGUUUGAGUCCCGACCCCAAGUGGUCAAAUGUCUCCUUACUUGCUCGAGAGAUACACAACCCCCCAAACUUAUUCUUUUCACUCAAUUAUCCCAGGGUUGUGUUUAAAAAUUAUGAGUUUACCUAGCUUUAGUUCUCACCCUCUCGUAGUUUGGAUUAAUUUCACUAUCACAAGUUCACAUAUCAACAAGUGAAGGCUCUCCUAGUUUUGAUUGCUUCGACACUCAAGACUAAACUAGGUUACUUGCCUCGCCUCAAAGAUAUAGUUUCUUCCACCAAUUGUCCAAGGGUUUUUCUUCUUGUUAUUGUCUCUUUUUUUUUUUCUCACUUUUCUCUCUCUUUUUUUUGUUUUUUUUUUGUUGUUUUUUGUUGUUGUUUUUUUUUAUUAUCAUCUUCUCAUUUGCUUUCUAUAUAACCCAUGUAACAAGCUUUAGGCCGGUGACUCCCAAACCAGUUGGUUUUAGGGCACCAGGUUUUAGACCCUUGCAGGCUUAUUCACUCGAGUUAUAAAGGCUCGAUCAGAUGACUUUUUAUUAACUUCUUUACUUCUUGCUUUCUAUAUGACCCAUGUAUCGAGCUUUAGGCUGGUGACUCCCAGAUCAGUUGACCUUAGGGCACCAGAUUUUGAAAUAUCCUUACAGGCUUACUUGCUCGAGUCAUAAAGGCUGAAAAAGAAGUGUCUUAUUCUCACAAAUUAAGUUCAUGCCCUUAUUUUUCUAGACAUUUGGUAUCCAAAACUAACCCUCAAUUUAAGAUUUUCACCUACUCUUCAUCCCACUGGUCUAGGCAAUCCACACAAUAAUUCAUGCACGGAGCCUCACUCAUUUCAAUGUUCUCCUAUAAUAGCUCAACUAUCACCAA